GACGUAGGGCGCGAGCGUUGUCCGGAUUUAUUGGGCGUAAAGAGCUCGUAGGCGGCUUGUCGCGUCGACCGUGAAAACUUGGGGCUCAACCCCAAGCCUGCGGUCGAUACGGGCAGGCUCGAGUUCGGUAGGGGAGACUGGAAUUCCUGGUGUAGCGGUGAAAUGCGCAGAUAUCAGGAGGAACACCGAUGGCGAAGGCAGGUCGCUGGGACGUUACUGACGCUAAGGCGCGAAAGCGUGGGGAGCGAACAGG
rnacentral:rRNA from 1 species